GUCCACGCCAUAAACGAUGGAUAUUAGAUGUCGGGAGCACUUGUUCUCUCGGUGUCGUAGCUAACGCGUUAAAUAUCCCGCCUGGGGAGUACGGCCGCAAGGUUAAAACUCAAAGAAAUUGACGGGGGCCCGCACAAGUGGUGGAGGAUGUUGUUUAAUUCGAUGCAACGCGAAAACCUUACCUAGGCUUGACAUCCCACGCUAUCCUGUGAAAGCAGGAGUUCCUUCGGGACGUGGAGACAGGUGUUGCAUGGCUGUCGU
rnacentral:rRNA from 1 species